UACGUAGGGGGCAAGCGUUAUCCGGAUUUACUGGGUGUAAAGGGAGCGUAGGCGGCGAUGCAAGUCAGAAGUGAAAGCCCGGGGCUCAACUCCGGGACUGCUUUUGAAACUGUAUGGCUAGAUUGCAGGAGAGGAAAGCGGAAUUCCUAGUGUAGCGGUGAAAUGCGUAGAUAUUAGGAAGAACACCAGUGGCGAAGGCGGCUUUCUGGACUGAAACUGACGCUGAGGCACGAAAGCGUGGGGAGCGAACAGG
rnacentral:rRNA from 1 species